GAUGAACGCUAGCGGGAGGCCUAACACAUGCAAGCCGAGCGGUAUUUGUCUUUUGGGACAGAGAGAGCGGCGUACGGGUGCGGAACACGUGUGCAACCUGCCUUUAUCAGGGGCAUAGCCUUUCGAAAGGAAGAUUAAUACCACAUAAUAUAUUAGAUGGCAUCAUUUGAUAUUGAAAACUCCGGUGGAUAGAGAUGGGCACGCGCAAGAUUAGAUAGUUGGUAGGGUAACGGCCUACCAAGUAAGUGAUCUUAAGGGGGCCUGGGAGGGUGAUCCCCCACACUGGUACUGAGACACGGACCAGACUCCUACGGGAGGCAGCAGUGAGGAAUAUUGGACAAUGGGUUAGCGCCUGAUCCAGCCAUCCCGCGUGAAGGACGACUGCCCUAUGGGUUGUAAACUUCUUUUGUACAGGGAUAAACCUUUCCACGUGUGGAAAGCUGAAGGUACUGUACGAAUAAGCACCGGCUAACUCCGUGCCAGCAGCCGCAGUAA
rnacentral:rRNA from 1 species